UGGGGAAUAUUGCACAAUGGGCGCAAGCCUGAUCCAGCCAUCCCGCGUGUGCGAUGAAGGCCUUCGGGUUGUAAAGCACUUUUGGCAGGAAAGAAACGUCGCGGGUUAAUACCCCGCGAAACUGACGGUACCUGCAGAAUAAGCACCGGCUAACUACGUGCCAGCAGCCGCGGUAAUACGUAGGGUGCAAGCGUUAAUCGGAAUUACUGGGCGUAAAGCGUGCGCAGGCGGUUCGGAAAGAAAGAUGUGAAAUCCCAGAGCCUAACUUUGGAACUGCAUUUUUAACUACCGGGCUAGAGUGUGUCAGAGGGAGGUGGAAUUCCGCGUGUAGCAGUGAAAUGCGUAGAUAUGCGGAGGAACACCGAUGGCGAAGGCAGCCUCCUGGGAUAACACUGACGCUCAUGCACGAAAGCGUGGGGAGCAAACAGGAUUAGAUACCCUGGUAGUCCACGCCCUAAACGAUGUCAACUAGCUGUUGGGGCCUUCGGGCCUUGGUAGCGCAGCUAACGCGUGAAGUUGACCGCCUGGGGAGUACGGUCGCAAGAUUAAAACUCAAAUGAAUUGAC
rnacentral:rRNA from 1 species